GACGAACGCUGGCGGCGUGCUUAACACAUGCAAGUCGAACGGAAAGGCCCUGCUUUUGUGGGGUGCUCGAGUGGCGAACGGGUGAGUAACACGUGAGUAACCUGCCCUUGACUUUGGGAUAACUUCAGGAAACUGGGGCUAAUACCGGAUAGGAGCUCCUGCUGCAUGGUGGGGGUUGGAAAGUUUCGGCGGUUGGGGAUGGACUCGCGGCUUAUCAGCUUGUUGGUGGGGUAGUGGCUUACCAAGGCUUUGACGGGUAGCCGGCCUGAGAGGGUGACCGGCCACAUUGGGACUGAGAUACGGACCAGACUCCUACGGGGGGCAGCAGUGGGGAAUAUUGCACAGUGGGCGGAAGCCUGAUGCAGCAACGCCGCGUGCGGGAUGAAGGCCUUCGGGUUGUAAACCGCUUUCGCCUGUGACGAAGCGUGAGUGACGGUAAUGGGUAAAGAAGCACCGGCUAACUCCGUG
rnacentral:rRNA from 1 species